rnacentral:rRNA from 1 species
GACGUAGGGUGCGAGCGUUGUCCGGAUUUAUUGGGCGUAAAGAGCUCGUAGGCGGCUCGUCGCGUCGACCGUGAAAACCCGCGGCUUAACUGCGGGCUUGCGGUUGAUACGGGCGGGCUAGAGUUCGGUAGGGGAGACUGGAAUUCCUGGUGUAGCGGUGAAAUGCGCAGAUAUCAGGGGGAACACCGGUGGCGAAGGCGGGUCUCUGGGCCGAUACUGACGCUGAGGAGCGAAAGCGUGGGGAGCGAACAGG